GUCCCUGGGCAUAGAGACAGUUAAUGCGUUCAGUUGCUAACUGAAAGGUUGGAGGUUCGAGUCCACUCAGAGGUG
rnacentral:tRNA from 1 species